CCUACGGGAGGCUGCAGUGGGGAAUAUUGGACAAUGGGGGGAACCCUGAUCCAGCCAUGCCGCGUGUGUGAAGAAGGCCCUCGGGUUGUAAAGCACUUUCAGUGAGGAAGAACGCCUGGUGGUUAAUACCCAUCAGGAAAGACAUCACUCACAGAAGAAGCACCGGCUAACUCCGGGCCAGCAGCCGCGGUAAUACGGAGGGUGCGAGCGUUAAUCGGAAUUACUGGGCGUAAAGCGCGCGUAGGUGGCUUGAUAAGCCGGUUGUGAAAGCCCCGGGCUCAACCUGGGAACGGCAUCCGGAACUGUCAAGCUAGAGUGCAGGAGAGGAAGGUAGAAUUCCCGGUGUAGCGGUGAAAUGCGUAGAGAUCGGGAGGAAUACCAGUGGCGAAGGCGGCCUUCUGGACUGACACUGACACUGAGGUGCGAAAGCGUGGGUAGCAAACAGGAUUAGAUACCCUGGUAGUC
rnacentral:rRNA from 1 species